rnacentral:rRNA from 1 species
GAAGUCUGACGGAGCACGCCGCGUGAGUGUGAGGCUUUCGGGUCGUAGAACACCGUUUUAAGUUAAGAAGAAGGUUGUAGAUUAAUACUCUGCCUUUUGACGUUACCGACAGAAAAACACCGGCUAACUCUGUGCCAGCAGCCGCGGUAAUACAGAGGGUGCAAGCGUUAAUCGGAAUUACUGGGCGUAAAGCGCGCGUAGGUGGUUCGUUAAGUUGGAUGUGAAAUCCCCGGGCUCAACCUGGGA